CUUACAGGCAGGAACUGGGUGUUACGCUUUUUUGUUUGUUCGGAACUUAAUGCAGGAAAAUGCGAUCGACGUUUAUUAAUUAACCACCGCAGUCAAAGGUAGACCUCGGACUAGAACCACGUGUCCUGGGCUCGGCUCCGCAGGUCUAGCUUCCAGACGGGACGGUGUGCAACGUGCAGAAAGGAAUUUUGAAAGGAACUGGGACCGACAGAACUUUCCAUUACUGAUGUCUUGAUGCCAACCAGCAAUGUGACCCUCCAAGACAUCAAGUCCUUGUCCAUCCUGAGUCAGAAUCAACCUGACAACCUGAUCACCUCUCAGCUCGCCAUCUCGGAUCGAGAGGGGUAUCCUAAAAAUCUGAAUGUGACACGAGCAAGUACGUUACAGGUGACGACUCUCUUCAUCUGGUACACCACCUCCCUCUACAAGCAACUGUCCAAUAUGGCAGAACAAGGGUAAAAGAUUAAAUAGAGGGAAUGCCUCGUCUCAAGGAUGUGCCGAUGAGGGAGCCGUUUUGGAGAGUAGCUCAAAAUCCAGCUCCUCAUAAGCCCUUCUUGCUGAAGGAUCAUAGCACAAGAGAGAGCACGAAGGAUUCAUUUGCUUCAGAACCUCUCCCGAAUGCCUGCUGCAUUCCGCACACUGUGUUUGUGCUCUCUCCCUCUCCCCCCUCCCCGCUCCUCCCCCCAGUUUGCUCUCUCCCUCUCUCUCUCUCUCUCUCGCUCUAAAAUAAAAAUUAAAUAAAAAAUUAAAAAAAGGUUCGCUUUUUAAAAAAUUCUCUAACUAGCAAACCUAAAAAUGGAAAAUGAGGACCAGGUACUUGGAUUUUAAUUAUGUGAAUUUUUUACUGUCCACUUAAAUAAGCCACUGUGGUCAUUCAAAAUCAUGCUUGUGAAAUAUAUUUCAUGAUGGUAUAGUAUUACAAAACUAAAGCAGAGUACAAAACGAUAUAUAUUUAUAACUUAACAAGAUAAGACUUUAUAAAGAAAAGGCUGGAACUAACAAUGAUCCUCUAGCCUAGAUGGUGGAAUUGUGAGCAAUUUAAACACUGGGCUUUAGAAUUUUCUUUAUCUAGGAAACCUGGAUGGGGCUCAGUUGGGUUAGGGGUCCGACUCUUGGUUUUGGCUCAGGUCAUGACAUCGCAGCUUCCUGGGAUGGAGCCCUGUGUCGGGCUCUGCGCUGACAGCAUGGAGCCUGCUUGGGGUUCUCUGUCUCCCUCUCUCUCUGCCCCUCCCCCACUCACGCUGUCUCCCUGUCUCUCUCAAAAUAAAUAAAUGCAAAAAAAAAAAAAA